rnacentral:rRNA from 1 species
UGGGGAAUAUUGCACAAUGGGCGCAAGCCUGAUGCAGCCAUGCCGCGUGUAUGAAGAAGGCCUUCGGGUUGUAAAGUACUUUCAGUCGGGAGGAAGGUGGUAAGGUUAAUAACCUUAUCAAUUGACGUUACCGACAGAAGAAGCACCGGCUAACUCCGUGCCAGCAGCCGCGGUAAUACGGCGGGUGCAAGCGUUAAUCGGAAUUACUGGGCGUAAAGCGCACGCAGGCGGUUGAUUGAGUCAGAUGUGAAAUCCCCGGGCUUAACCCGGGAAUUGCAUCUGAUACUGGUCAGCUAGAGUCUUGUAGAGGGGGGUAGAAUUCCAUGUGUAGCGGUGAAAUGCGUAGAGAUGUGGAGAAAUACCGGUGGCGAAGGCGGCCCCCUGGACAAAGACUGACGCUCAGGUGCGAAAGCGUGGGAAGCAAACAGG